rnacentral:rRNA from 1 species
UAGGGAAUCUUCCACAAUGGGCGCAAGCCUGAUGAAGCAACACCGCGUGAGUGAAGAAGGGUUUCGGCUCGUAAAGCUCUGUUGUUAAAGAAGAACACGUAUGAGAGUAACUGUUCAUACGUUGACGGUAUUUAACCAGAAAGUCACGGCUAACUACGUGCCAG